rnacentral:rRNA from 1 species
AUUGAACGCUGGCGGCAUGCUUUACACAUGCAAGUCGAACGGUAACGCGGGGCAACCUGGCGACGAGUGGCGAACGGGUGAGUAAUGCAUCGGAACGUGCCCGGUAGUGGGGGAUAACUGCUCGAAAGAGCAGCUAAUACCGCAUACGACCUGAGGGUGAAAGGGGGGGAUCGCAAGACCUCUCGCUAUUGGAGCGGCCGAUGUCGGAUUAGCUAGUUGGUGGGGUAAGGGCCCACCAAGGCGACGAUCCGUAGCUGGUCUGAGAGGACGACCAGCCACACUGUGACGGAGACACGUCCCAGACUCCUACGGGAGGCAGCAGUGGGGAAUUUUGGACAAUGGACGCAAGUCUGAUCCAGCCAUGCCGCGUGCGGGAAGAAGGCCUUCGGGUUGUAAACCGCUUUUGUCAGAGAAGAAAUCUUCUGGGUUAAUACCUCGGGAGGAUGACGGUAUCUGAAGAAUAAGCACCGGCUAACUACGUGCCAGCCGCCGCGGUAA